GUCGGACCAAAAGAAAAGCUGAUAUCUGAUUAUGCCUUCCUUGACCCAACAGAAGAACGACCUUUGACUGAACAACUGUUUGAGUAUGCUGGAUAUUACUUGAAUAGAGAAACAUUCCAGUCUAUGAGAGCCGGAGAGCUAGAAAGUAUUAUUGUAGAUGUUUGGUGUCUACGACUAAAUCAGCUGGAUCUCAACAGACGCCUUGAUAAGCCCAAGCGAAUAUUCUUCUCAACCCAGGCUUUUCUCCAACUAGACAGCCCCACAAAUUGGGAAAGGGAUGAAAAUACA